rnacentral:lncRNA from 1 species
AGCAAUUCUACUAUUUUUGGUUUCUUCUAUUUUUCGUAUUUCUUCCGUAGUUUGUUGUUUUAUUUUUUCUAUUUCUUUUUUCCUAUCUAUCUCUUCAUUUUCUUUUUCUAUUCUUACCAUUGCUGUUAAUUUAUCUUCUAAUUUUAAUUCUUCUUUUUCUAACAUUAGAUAUAAAUGUUCACCUAUUUUCUUAUAUCUUCGUCCUAGAUUAGAAAAUACUAUUUUUAUUUUUGAUCCUUCGUAGUUUUCAUAUAUUUUUUCAUCUAUUAUAAAUUCUUCUUUAUUCAUUUUAUUGUGAAUAGUUCAUGUUGAUAUAUAUAUUCUAAGCUAUCUAUUUGUGAUUCUAAUUUUGAUAUUUCAUCUUUUUGUGUAUUUAUUGAAUUUUUACUUACUCCGGCAAAUAUAUUAUAAUUUAGUCUUUCUAUUCUUAUUUUUAAUUCUUUACGUUUUUCAGAAAUAAUUUGUUUUAAUUCUUUAUAUUGUUGUACCUUAUUCAUUUUAAAUUAUAUUUAUAAUAUUUUGGUGGAUAUCUAAAUCUAAUUUUAUUAUAAUUAGGCGGUAUAUGUUUCAUUCUUCUAGAUUUUAAAUGUGUUAUUAACUUUGAUUCAAUACUAGAUAUUAAUGUAAUUAAAUAGGCUAGUUUUUGUGGAUUUUCUUUUGUUUUAUUUAGACUUAUAUAUUCUGAAUAAUUACUAAGUAAUGAUUUUUUAAUUUUUCUAAAAGCUUCUCUGUUUUUAAAUGGUCUUCGCAUAAUUAAUUUAAUUUUUUCGUAGGUAAUUUUUUAACUUUAAAUCUAAUUCUAAUUCUAACUCUAAUAUAUAUCUCUUCCGUACUUUUUAAAUUACUGUGCUCUGAUACCAUUUGUAGGGGGGUGCGCGGAUUUGUAGGUAUAAUAGAUUUG